GUUCAUCUCAUUGCUUGCUUGCUUUAUUAGUAGGGACUAGGGAGGGCAUUCUACCAGAACUCAACACUGAGUCAAACGUAGCUUCGGAGAUCUUGGUCUGCGUGCUACAAGAAUUUGCUUCACCAUUCAGGGAUUUUGUUGAUCUUACGUAGCUAAUAGUUGAAAGAAGAACAUGGCUCACGACCAUGAUCAUCACCAUGGAGAAAACCCUUAUUAUGAUGAUCCGAUUGAUCCCUUGUUGUGGUAUUGCUGCUGCCCUUGUAAUUUAGUAUCUUCUAUAUUCAGAGGAAUUGGGAGGUGCAUCUUCGUGGCUUGUUUCCCUAUUAUGCAGUGUUUUGAAUUGGAAAACCAUGCUCACCGCAUGCACAAUUACGGCCACAGGCAUUACCACUAUACUCCGUGACAUCGACGUCGACCCAGACAAGAUUUCAAUGUUUUGAUCAAGUCCAGCACGAAGAGCCUUUGGAAAUUAAUUUUUGACUCUUGUUGAGGUAAUGUAAUUGAACACUUGGCUCUAAGAAAUUAAGCCAAGACUAUCUGAAUUAAGGUUGCAUGCGCUUGAAUGUGCUGAUCCUAUUUUCUGUAAUUCUGUUUCCCUUGUUCUUUCCUCAAAUCAAACAGAACACAUAAAUUGGAAACCAUUUUCUCAA